CCCUUAGAUGUUCUGGGCCGCACGCGUGCUACACUGAGUGGAUCAGCGGGUCAGGUUGCGCGAAAGUGUUUCCUAAUCUUUAAAUCCGCUCGUGAUGGGGAUUGACGGUUGCAAUUUUCCGUCAUGAACGAGGAAUACCUUGUAAGCGCGGGUCAUCAUCCCGCGCUGAAUACGUCCCUGCCCUUUGUACACACCGCCCGUCGCUCCUACCGAUUGAGUGGUCCGGUGAGUCUUUGGGAUCUGAGCGGAAAGAGCGUUUCGCUGUUUCUGCCCGGAAAACUCAGUCGAACCUUAUCAUUUAGAGGAAGGAGAAGUCGUAACA
rnacentral:rRNA from 1 species